UUUAAAGUCUAGGGUGAAUAGGAACCCUAAUUGUUCUAUUUGUCAACCUGAAAUACCAAAUUAAUAAAAUUGUAAUAAAGAAUAGGGGAGAGAAGGGAAAAGGGGGCCAGGUUAAAAAGAAAAAUGAAAACAAAGAACAUGAAAACUGUGACAAGGGAAGAAAUACAAACAUUAUAAUAAGAAAUCAUAUUCAAGAAGAAGGAAAGUAGAAGCUUGUCUAGUCAUGGCAUGACAAUUUUGCAACUGAUAUAACUGUUGAGUAUGGACUUCGGAUCUUCUAAAUCUUUUUAUUCAUCUAUCUCAUCCAAUCAAAUCAUCUUUGCUCAUAAGCAACAACAACAAGAGUGUCAACUCCCACUACACUCAUCAAUGACAUUAGGCCCAUUACUUGAAAAAUUAAAAAACAACUCACAAGAAAAUGGCAAACCAGAUGAAUAACACAUCCCUGCAUUAUCACUAAUUAAGAUAAGAUAAUAAUGGUUAUGAUAUAAACAAAACUAUAAUAUAAUAUAAUAUAAUGCCUCCACACCAAGAAAACAUUUCUAACACUUGUCUUUUUCUUUUUCUUCAUAUGUAAUCCACAUUCAAGCUAAAACCCACACAAGAAGACGCCAAAAGAAAGAAAGAAGAGCCAUAUUACUAGAAAAUAAAAGAAAGAUUAAUCAAAAUAAUUAAUUCUCCUUUGUGUUCUCCCUAAUGGAAACUAGAGCCUGGAGUGUAAAUAGCAAGAUCA
rnacentral:misc_RNA from 1 species